UACGAAGGGAGCUAGCGUUGUUCGGAAUCACUGGGCGUAAAGCGCACGUAGGCGGAUUGUUAAGUCGGGGGUGAAAUCCUGGAGCUCAACUCCAGAACUGCCUUCGAUACUGGCGAUCUCGAGUUCGGGAGAGGUGAGUGGAACUGCGAGUGUAGAGGUGAAAUUCGUAGAUAUUCGCAAGAACACCAGUGGCGAAGGCGGCUCACUGGCCCGAUACUGACGCUGAGGUGCGAAAGCGUGGGAGCAAACAGGG
rnacentral:rRNA from 1 species